GACGAACGCUGGCGGCGUGCCUAAUACAUGCAAGUAGAACGCACAGUUUAUACCGUAGCUUGCUACACCAUAGACUGUGAGUUGCGAACGGGUGAGUAACGCGUAGGUAACCUGCCUGGUAGCGGGGGAUAACUAUUGGAAACGAUAACUAAUACCGCAUAAUAUUAAUUAUUGCAUGAUAAUUGAUUGAAAGAUGCAACUGCAUCACUACCAGAUGGACCUGCGUUGUAUUAGCUAGUAGGUGAGGUAACGGCUCACCUAGGCGACGAUACAUAGCCGACCUGAGAGGGUGAUCGGCCACACUGGGACUGAGACACGGCCCAGACGCCCACGGGAGGCAGCAGUAGGGAAACUUCGGCAAUGGACGAAAGGCUGACCGAGCAACGCCGCGUGAGGGAAGAAGGUUUUCGGAUCGUGAAGCUCUGUUGUAAGAGAAGAACGGGUGUGAGAGUGGAAAGUUCACACUGUGACGGUAUCUUACCAGAAAGGGACGGCUAACUACGUG
rnacentral:rRNA from 1 species